rnacentral:tRNA from 1 species
GGGUAAUUAGCUCAAUGGUAGAGCACCUCGCUUACAACGAGACGGUUAUUGGUUCGAGUCCGUUAUUACCCA